GAUGAACGCUGGCGGCGUGCCUAAUACAUGCAAGUCGAGCGAACGGACGAGAAGCUUGCUUCUCUGAUGUUAGCGGCGGACGGGUGAGUAACACGUGGAUAACCUACCUAUAAGACUGGGAUAACUUCGGGAAACCGGAGCUAAUACCGGAUAAUAUUUUGAACCGCAUGGUUCAAAAGUGAAAGACGGUCUUGCUGUCACUUAUAGAUGGAUCCGCGCUGCAUUAGCUAGUUGGUAAGGUAACGGCUUACCAAGGCAACGAUGCAUAGCCGACCUGAGAGGGUGAUCGGCCACACUGGAACUGGAACACGGUCCAGACUCCUACGGGAGGCAGCAGUAGGGAAUCUUCCGCAAUGGGCGAAGGCCUGACGGAGCAACGCCGCGUGAGUGAUGAAGGUCUUCGGAUCGUAAAACUCUGUUAUUAGGGAAGAACAUAUGUGUAAGUAACUGUGCACAUCUUGACGGUACCUAAUCAGAAAGCCACGGCUAACUACGUG
rnacentral:rRNA from 1 species